rnacentral:lncRNA from 1 species
UCCCCGCAGGAGCAUGCCGUGGAGGUGGCAGGGCGCAGCGGCGGCCCCGAGGCAGAGCCGGGGGGGCCCUGGGACGCCGUCCGCAUCGUAGCACCCCGCUGCGAGGUGUACGUCUGCGUGGGCCGAGCCGACGGGGCGGCACGGUGAGUGCCACCAGCAGCCACCCCGCUCGAAUAAAACCCCUCAGAGCACUGCGGGGAGAGGGGAGCCAAGCCACAGGAGCAGGGGGACAUCGGGCGCGACAAUAGGGUUGAGCAAUCCCCUUCGCACGGGUUCCUCUGGGCUGUCCCAGGUGCUGGUGGCCGUCCCCGAGCUCUGCUGACCGCCGGCUGUCCUCUCUCCCCGCUCCACAGCUGGCAGCAGGGCAGGGCACGGCCCCCGCUCAGCCCCGGAGCCGAGGGCGAGCAUGGAGAAACCGGCACCAAACCCCGAGGCUGUGCCGAAGGCGGCUCCGCACUCGCCAAGGUGAGACAGGCGUCGUGGUGUGGGGUGUGCCGGUGUCCCCAGCCCCUCGUCACCUUGUCACCACCUCUGCCGGGCACGUUCAGGAGCUCCUUCAUCCCACAAAGCAGGCUCUGUCCCCAAAUUCACUGCUGGGUUCCCCUGUGUGGGUUUUCCUGCCCCACUCCCUCCCCUGCCAGCCGAUUUGGGGCUGAGCCCACCUUCUGCUCCUCUCCCGGUCCCGUUUGGCCAGCAGCUGUGGGCUGUAACCCCUCUUUGCCUCCUUCCAGCCCGCAAGCUUGCUGCCCCCACUGCAGAGACCUGCCCUGUCUUGUCUCCCAGGACUGGGAAAUGACCAGGCUGUGGGACAGCUCUUUGGGAUCGGGCAAACGGGACGCCAUGAGCCACGGGGGCCGCAAGGACGAGGCGCGGGCGCCGCAGGCAGACAGACCCAGGUGGGCUCAACCCCUUCCCUCUGGAUCCUGGGUGAGGACGGAGGCCCCGAGCUGUAGGAAAGAAAUCUGCCCGCUGAAAGCAGCCCGAGGUCCCGCCAGCCAGAAGCCUGAGGAGAGCCGGGCAAAACCCCGCACGGGGAGCUGCCGUUUCUCCCUGGAUCACCCCAAACCCGACCCUCCCCGGGCUCCUUCGCCAUCACCUCGCGGCCGCGGCUCCUCUCUGACCCCCGGCAGGUUCCUGGCAUCCUCCUCCCGUCCCGGGGAGCCCCACGGGCACCCCGGAGGCGCGGGCACGGAGGGGAGGCGCGGGUUGGAGCGGCAGGAGUACACGGUGCUGGCGGACCUGCCCAAACCCAAGCGCCUCGGCCGCGGGGACGCCGCCGAGCGCUGCGGCUCCCGCACCCUCAGCCCCGGCCGGGUGGAGGUGGAGAGGAUAUUCGGCUGCGAGCGCAGGUGAGAAAGGAGUGGGGAAGCUCUGGGGUGUCCCCAAAAGCCAUCGGGGCGUCCCCAGCUGGGGAUGUGCGGGGCUGGAGCCCGGCUCCUCGUGCCCGCAGGAAAUCGGAGACGCUGGAGGCUUUCCAGGCGCUGGAGGAGGGCCGCGUGGAGAGGCUGGAUGGGAAGACCCCGCUGCCACCCAGCAAAGGCCGCCUAGGUCGCAGGCAGUCCAGCCCCAGCCUGCCCAGGG